CACGAAACAGAGGUGCUGCAGCCCUAGCUGCUGCAGCUAUCUCUCUUUCCUCUCCCUCUUCCCUCAAUUCUUCUUCUUCUUUUCUUCUCUUCUCCCUCUUCUUCCUCUCUUCUUUUCCCUCUUCUUCUUCUUUUCUUCUCUUCUCCCUCUACUUCUCUUCUUCUUCUCCCCACUCCCCACCGCUCCUCUCUCUCUGUUUCUC
rnacentral:lncRNA from 1 species